rnacentral:lncRNA from 1 species
CUAGAGCAGAGGGAAUCAUGGCAGAUUGCAAUUGAUACUGCUGAUUGCAAGGUUAUCAUAGGAGAAUUUACCUUUGUGAUGAUCUGAUCAGUGUAUAAAAGUCAAACUCCUUAAAAGUUACUUUUUCUAGCAAAAGCUAUCCAUUUUUUUCUCGGCAGUGUCUAAACUAAUGGAUCCUUGAGCUGGACUGAAGUGCUUCGCUCAGAUUUGAACAUUACUUGAUAAUAAUUUUAUGCAUCAUGAUCUGUUUGUGCUACCUUCAAUUACUGAGAGCUGCUCAGAUCCAGCUCCUGUGUCAUUGUUUGUAUUGCUCAGAAACUUGAAUCAAGUCUGUCAGCCUUUUGAUGUGUAUGCCAAGUCAACAGUGCAGUCAUUUUACCCUGUAAACUACCUCUACUUGUAAGGGAUCAGACCUAGCAGUAGCUCUUCCAGAAAGCAGAAGUUUGGACAGGUAGACAUUUACUGAAUUCCAAAAUACAGUUAAAUACAAGCUAAUCUCUUUAUGGACGAAUAUUAAGCUGACAUUGUCAGUUUAAUUUAUCAAGGGAAUAAAAGUCCCUUUGCCUCAGGGACUGCA